rnacentral:rRNA from 1 species
CCUACGGGAGGCUGCAGUGAGGAAUAUUGGUCAAUGGACGAGAGUCUGAACCAGCCAAGUAGCGUGAAGGAUGACUGCCCUAUGGGUUGUAAACUUCUUUUAUAUGGGAAUAAAAUGUUCCACGUGUGGGAUUUUGUAUGUACCAUAUGAAUAAGGAUCGGCUAACUCCGUGCCAGCAGCCGCGGUAAUACGGAGGAUCCGAGCGUUAUCCGGAUUUAUUGGGUUUAAAGGGAGCGUAGGUGGAUUGUUAAGUCAGUUGUGAAAGUUUGCGGCUCAACCGUAAAAUUGCAGUUGAUACUGGCAGUCUUGAGUACAGUAGAGGUAGGCGGAAUUCGUGGUGUAGCGGUGAAAUGCUUAGAUAUCACGAAGAACUCCGAUUGCGAAGGCAGUUCACUAAACUGCGACUGACACUGAGGCUCGAAAGUGUGGGUAUCAAACAGGAUUAGAUACCCCAGUAGUC